UAAUAAUGAAGUAUAUAUACUUUUUUUUUUUAAAAAAAAGCUUUUAAAUUUCUUCGUGAUUUAAAUUUAGUUGAACAAAAUGCUGAUAUUUGAUGUACCACAUUGAUGAACCUUGAUGAACCAGUUCAAUAUUGGAAGUCUGAUUUCUCCAGAGACCAAGGCCAGCACCAUACAUGCAUCCGGCACAGGUGAAACUGUGCAGAAGGAAAGCUACUGGCCAAUUGCAGAAAUCCAUUUCACGUGCCCAGCCUCCAUAAAGAAUGCACAGGAAAACUUAACUUCUUCAGCAGGUCAUCCAAAACACUCAGCAUGGUCACUAGGAAGCUGCCAAAUGCCUGAAGUGUGGGCAAUGCAGAUGACGGUGUGCUCCUGGAGCUUUGUGAACAAGCAUCCAGGACUACAGCUCUGCUUUCAACAGAAAUAUCGCAUAUUGCUUAUUAGUGAAUGCUGA
rnacentral:lncRNA from 1 species